rnacentral:rRNA from 1 species
GUAGGUGGCAAGCGUUGUCCGGAAUUAUUGGGCGUAAAGCGCGCGCAGGCGGUCCUUUAAGUCUGAUGUGAAAGCCCACGGCUCAACCGUGGAGGGUCAUUGGAAACUGGGGGACUUGAGUACAGAAGAGGAAAGCGGAAUUCCAAGUGUAGCGGUGAAAUGCGUAGAGAUUUGGAGGAACACCAGUGGCGAAGGCGGCUUUCUGGUCUGUAACUGACGCCGAGGCGCGAAAGCGUGGGGAGCAAACAGGAUUAGAUACCCUGGUAGUCCACGCCGUAAACGAUGAGUGCUAAGUGUUAGGGGGUUUCCCGCCCCCUUAGUGCUGCAGCUAACGCAUUAAGCACUCCGCCUGGGGAGUACGGCCCGCAAGGCUG